rnacentral:tRNA from 1 species
GGAGAUGUAGCUUAGUAGUAGAGCACUUGCCUGGCAUGUGUAAGGCCCUAGGUUCAAUCCCCAGCACCACUA